rnacentral:lncRNA from 1 species
AUUCUGGGAGACAUUCGUGUUCCGAAUUUGGUCAAGGAAGUUAAUCAUAGCAUCUGUAUCGGUCAUUGCGGGCAACGUUAUCAAGGAAGCAUUCAGUCCACCCUCGCUGUUUGUAUAUUGAAAAAUGCCAGUAGUGAUGUUGUCAACAGGUGCAGCAGAGGAAUCAGAGAAAGGCCUAAUAGCCAUGUAAUAUUGGCCAACGUUUCGAUUGGCAGAGACCAAAACAUCCAUGGUUUGGCCAGGGCUUAUCAAUAUAUAGUCCCUCGUAAACCUUCGAACAUAGGAGGCAUCUUGUGCGACGACUGUGAGGGUGUGGUUCGCUAUGGUGAAGAAAAAAUGUUCGUUCAUUGCAGCGUUAAUUAUGCGGAGAAGGUAUAUCUUCUCAGAAUCAACUAGCAUACGGAAUAUUGUAUCUGCAACAACCAACUAUAGGCUCUUAGUAUAAGGGAUCCAAAGGCCGAGAAACUCAAUCCGGUUUCGGUAAUGCUAGAACAUACCAUUGGGGCAUCCAUAUGUGUCUCCUACGUGUCCAUUGAUAGCAUAAGCAUUUGGUUGGCGAGGAGAGACACCGGCGGCAAGUGCGUCAUCAAUAAUUUGCUUGUAGUCCCCAUCGUACCAUGAUUCUGUAAAUGCAUUAAAAAAAUCAAAUUAAGAUGCGUAUAAUUAUACACAAGUAACACAACCGAAGAAUCAAAAUAUAUGCUUACCAAGUAUGAUAGUUUGAUCGGCGUCUGGCGUGGGGAACGGGUAAGUUUCAUUCUCGGCAGGCAAAAUGAUGAAGGCUCCGUGGACGGAACCACGAGUCCAGUCACUGUGUGCGUGCCACCACAGGGUUCCUAUUUCAUCCGAUAAUACGAUUUCAUAGGUGAAGUUAGUCCCUGGUUGGAUGGGGCACUGCGUUAUGAACUCGGGACCAUCGGACCAUGGAUUCCUCGGUUGUUUCACACCGUGCCUGCAACAUGUUUAAUUUGAUUUAAUCACUUCUGAUUUCAAUUCUUUGGGAAAUUACGACUGUAAGAAUGAAAGAAAGGUUAUAGUUACCAGUGAAUGGUGAAGCCGUAGUUUCCUUGAUUGUGGACAUUAACGAAGACAGUAUCACAUCUGUGAACCCGAAUCUGUGGCCCUGGAUAGCUGUCGUUUACGACCAGCAAUGUGGUUGUGUUGCACAGCUUCGUAAAGUUUGACUCUAGCACCUGCAGUCAAAUCUCAACACUAAUAUUAAACUGUAAAGGAAAAAAAGCCACUGCCAUGAUUAGUCUUCAAUCUCAGGCGCUUAGCCAUGUUUUAAGGAGACAUUUCUACCAUUACUCGGUAAUAGUUAAAGCAAGGAUGUUGUAUCAGACCUGAACGUUUUGGGUUUAAAACAGAGAAGGGAAACGUAAUUUAUGAUCAGGUGAGUAAAUUACGUAGGUUGAAUAUGAGGUUUAAGAUUAUCCAUAGGAAACAACUAUGACAUGAAAGAAAGGGUACUCACAAAGAAUUCAUAGUGAUGUACAUCUGCACAGGAAAGGAGCAAAGUUCUUAGAAAUAAAACCCCUGCAAACCAUGUCACUAAACCUUGCUGUAAACCCAUUUCCCCCCCCUCUAAUGUGUUGUCAGUUCGCCCCUGAAUUUUCUCAUCUUUGGGUCAGCCAUUUAUGGGAAAGGCAGCAAGUGCUCCUUAGGUUUGUUUCUUUGAAAGUCAACGAAAAUUGCAUUUUCCAGUCAAAAGUUACACUUCAAACAUGUUUCUAGUUUUUGUUUUUAUUUCUUUUUCUCAUGUCAUGUUGGAUUUUUUUUAAUACAUAUUUUUAAUUUUAUGUCCAAGUUAGACCAUGUAAUAUUAAGUUGAUAAUAGUUUGUUGAUGUUAGUUAAAAUGUUUAAAAUUGUUGAUGCAAAUCCAAGGUUGGAUGGCAGCUUCCUCACUGCUCUGCUCGUUUAAUAAUAUUUUACGUGUUGGAUGUGUAUGUGCACGCAUUUUUUGACGGUGAAAAUUUUAUAUGAGAUUAAAUUAAGCAUAUGAAAUUGUGAAAUCAACGAGAUGACUUUACAACAAUUAAGGUCGGUCUUAUUAAAUUAAAAGUGGGUGUAUCUAUUAUGGAAGUAAACCACUUAGUUUUAACUUCUUAUAUGAGUAUUGUUAUUUACGUGAAAAGAUUUGAAUUUAAUUUUAAAUAAUUUAAUUAACUAUCUUUGAAAAAAAACCUACUAAACAUAUUACCCACAACUUUUUUUCUUAAUGGAAAUCCAGGAAAAGGAAAAGAUAUUCUGAAAUGUUGACAAAAAAAAAAUCAUCACAAUUCACAACUUUAUCAGCAAAUUUUACUUUAAAAAAAAAACAUUAUCAACAAAUUUUAACCUUUUAUAUUCAUUCACUAAUUUUUUUUCAUUAAUGAAUUUAUAAACGGUCGAAAUUUAAAAGAAUUAUUUAAUUCCUUUUAAACUUUUUACAUUCAAUUGAGUCAUGCACUAAUAAAAUCGACUGAAUAGGCUCUUUAACUAACGUCGGUCGUUAGUAUUUACUGACAAUACUAACAUGGCUACUAACAAGCAUCCCAUAAAAAAUAUAAAAAAUUAUUUGAAAAUUAUUUUUUAUUUUUUAAAUAAGUACAUAAUCAAUCUAAACAAAUGGUUGUCCAUGUUUAUUUAAAUCUCAACUCUCAUUUAUCUAAAUUCAUUUUAAAAUUAUAAAAAUCAUUAAAAUUGAUUAAAAAUUAUAAUAUUAUUAGAAAUCAAUUAAACCCAUAAAAUUUAUUAAAAAAACAAUUUACUAAAAACCAUAAAAAUAAUUAAAAAUAAUUUAUAAAAGUUGUUAGUGUUAUAAAAUAAAAAGAGACGGAGAAAAUAAAGAUCAAAAAAAAAAAUGAAAGCAAUAAAGAAUGUACUUUAUUGAUCAAAUGGAUGAUUACAAUGCUUCAUCGGAGUCUCUAUUUAUAGGCAUAAGAAGUAUAAAAGAAGUAAUGGACAUUCACUUAAUAAGAUAUUCAUAACACUCCCCCUUGGAUGUCCAUUGGUAGAUAAUGUGCCUCGUUAAAAUCUUAUUAGGAAAAAUCCUAUGGGAUAAAAACCUAAUGAAGGAAAAAGAGUACACAAUCUUCUAUUACAAGUUGCCUCAUUAAAAACCUUUACCAGAAAAACCCAAUGGGACAAAACCUUGGUUAAAGGAAAAGAGUACAACUUGUUUUAGACUCCCCCUAAUGGCAACAUUACGUUACAUCUUUGAGUUGUCACAUUCCAAUAUUAUGUGGUAGUCUUUCAAAUCUUGAAGUUGGCAAUGCCUUAGUAAAAAGGUAUGCUAAAUUAUCACUAGAACAAAUUUGUUGAACAUUUAUAUCACCUCUUUUCUCAAGAUCAUGAGUGAAGAAUAAUUUUGGCAAAAUAUGUUUCGUUUUAUCACCUUUGAUGUAACCACCUUUCAAUUGAGCUAUACAUGUUGCAUUAUCUUCAUAUAAGAUGGUUUGCAUCUUUUCCUAUAAAGGAAAAUUAUAUAUCUUCUGUAUAUCUUGGGUCAAUAACCAUAGCCAAACACACUCUCGACUUGUCUCAUAUAUUGCAAUUAUUUCUACAUGAUUUGAAGAAGUAGCAGUUAAUGUUUGCUUUGUCGAACGCCAUGAUAUGGUAGUACCUCCACAUGUAAAUAAAUAUCCUAUUUGAGAUUGACCUUUAUGGGGAUCUGAUAAGUAUCCAACAUCAGCAUAGCCAACUAAUAGGGAUUUUGAAUCAUUUGAAUAAAAUAACCUCAUAUCAAUAGUCCUUCUGAAAUAUCUAAAUAUUUAAUUUCAUUCCAAUGUCUACAUGUUGGAGAAGAACUAAAUCUUCCUAACAAGUUUACAGCGAAAGCUAUAUCAGGUCUUGUGUUGUUUGUAAGAUACAUCAUUGCCCCUAUAGCACUUAGAUAUAUUACUUCAGGACCAAGAAACUCUUCAUCAUUCUCGCAAGGAAAAAAUUGAUCUUUAUUCACAUGUAACGAUCAUACAACCAUUGGAGUACUUAAUUGGUUGCUUUAUCCAUGUAAAAUUUCUAUAAUAUCUUUUCUAAAUAAGUUGAUUAAUGAACAUGAAUUUUAUCUUUUAAAUGCUCGAUUUGUAAGCUAAUAUAAAACUUUGUUUUUCCAAGAUCUUUUAUUUCAAUUUCUUUCUUUAAACAAUUUAUUGUAUUUUGAAGCUCUUCAGGAGUUCCAAUAAUAUUUAGAUCAUCAACAUAAACAACAAUUAUCACAAAAUCUUAUCCAAACCUUUUUAUAAAGACACAUAGACAAAUUGGAUCAUUUUUGUAUCAUUCUUUUAACAAGUAUUCACUAAAAUGAUUGUACCGCAUACAUCUAGAUUGUUUUAAUCUAUAUAAACUUUUCUUUAAUCUGAUUGAACAAUUUUUUCAAGAAACUCUAUAUCUUUCUGGGAUUUUAAAUCCUUCUGGGAUUUUCAUAUAAAUUUCACUAUCAAGUGUACCAUAUAAAUAGGAUGUAACAACAUCCAUUAGAUGCAUGUCAAGUUUUGCACGUACUGUGAGACUAAUAAUAUAUCUAAACGUGGUUACAUCCACCACAGGAGAAUAUGUCUCUUCAUAAUCAAUGCCGGGCCUUUGCGAAAAUCCUUGUGCUACAAGUCGAGCUUUAUAUCUUACGACUUCAUCAAUUUCAUUUUAUUUUCACACAAAUACCCAUUUAUAUCCUACCGGCUUUACACCUUUAGGGGUUUAGACUACAGGUCCAAAAAACUUCACGUUUAGAAAGUGAAUUCAAUUCUGCUUGAAUUGCAUCUUUUCAUUUUGGCCAAUCUUUUCUAUUUUUUACAUUUCUUAGUAGAUUUAGGCUCAGGAUCCUCAUUUUCUUUUGUUAUUUCAAUAGCAACAUUAUAAGCAAAAUUGUUGUCAACAGCUACAUUUUGUUUUUGUUCCAUGUUUUUCUCGUAUUGACAUAACUUAUUGAGAUUUCUUUAUUUUCAUCAUUUCCAUUUUCACUCUUAGGUACCUGAAUCUCUUCUUGAGUUUUAUAAUUAGUCAUGUCAUGGGUCUCUUCAGGAACCCCCGCCUCCACUAUAUGACCAUCUUGAAUGUUUGCUCCCCUUUUUUUAUGAUGAUUUUUAUCUUUGGAACUGAUUGGUCUUCCACGCUUCAUGCAUGGAUUACUUUCUUUUGCAUUAACAAUUUUCCCUAUUAGGACAUCAAUUCGUAUUGGAGCAUUUUCAGUUAGUAUGUGAGAUUUAAUGAAUCUGACGAUUGAUUUGUAAAAUGAAUUAUCUGUUGAACUUCUGGUUCACAUUGCUCUGUACAAGGAUCUUAGACAUUGAUAAUUCAUUUCAAGUACUUUAUUAAUCCAACUUUUUAUCCUCUUCCCUUAAUAUUGAGAAAACUGACAACUCAUGUCAUAACUAGAUAUCAAAUUAAUAGCUCAAAAAUAUUAUAAGGAGACUCAUAUAAAUAUACAUUCUCAAUCUCUUAUUAUGACCCAUCUUCGUGCUUUGUGGUGGAGCAGUUGGGACAUAUACCGCACAUCCAAAAAUUGUAAGAUGGGAAAUAUUUGGCUCUUGACAAAAAAUCAAUUGUAAUGGGGAGUAUUUAUAAUUUAUUGGCUUGAUGCGUACAACAUGUAAAUCAAUACAAUCUCAUGAUAAAAUAUAAAAUGUUUUGCUCUCAUAAGUAAUGAUUUAGCUAUUAGUUGGAGGCAUUUCAUAAACAAUUUAGCUAAAUCAUUUUGUGUGUGAACAUGAGCUACAGGAUGUUUAACUUUUAUCCCAAUUAACAUGCAAUAAUCAUUAAAAACUUGGGAUGUAAACUCACCAACGUUAGCAAGAUGAAUUGUUUUAAUUGCAUAAUUUGAAAUUAAUCUUUUAAACAAGAAAUCUUGCAAACAACAGGUUGCAAGUUGAUAACGCAUGUGAUUAUUUUGUAGAUGCAUCUAUCAAAAUCAUAUAAUAUCAAAAUCAUCCACAUGGUGGAUGAGUGGACCCAUAUUCAUUUCAGAAAUGCAAGACAUUAAAUCUCACCUAUAACAAGUGAGUUUUUAAGAAUCAAUUUUCAUUGAGAAUAAGCAACAAAUAAGAAUUCUUUAAAUUAAAGAAUCUUCUGGUUUUUUAAUGAAUGUCCAAAUGAAUUAUCAAUUAAUUUUAGCAUCAUAUAUGAUUCAUGAUGGUCUAACUGGUCACGCCAAGUAGUAAAUGUUUUUGUAUCAGUAAACUUCUGGUUUACUUUAACAUGUGUUUCAAUUGUACUAAAUUGUAACAAAUUGAUAAUUUUAUUAUCAUUUCUUUUAAUUUGUAUCCACAUAUAAGUACUAUUGUGACAUUUACUACUAAAAAUGUCCAAAUCAAUGUGAAGUCUAUAAUGUCACUAAGUCAAUAAAUAUAAUUUUCUAAUAAUUAUAUGCAAAAUUCGCUUCAGGGAAUAGCAAAUUUUGUGGUUUUUAGAUAUUAAUAUAUUAGCUCUUCUGGAGCUUUCAACUUACUUUGUACUACCAAAUAUUUGAAUAAUAUUUGUUUGUUUCAGUACCAAAUAAGAUAAAUAUUUCUAUUUAUAAUGAUAAAAUUCAUUACUACAUUCUCAUAUCAUUCCUCAAAGAAUAUUAACAAAAACAAAAUAUUUGGCCAUAAGCCACAUGUGUGGCUAAUAAUAUUUCAUAUCACAUUGAUAACAUAAGUUAUCUUUACCCUUUGAAGAGUUAUCAUGAGAACUCUUAUUGUUCUCUUAUUUAUUAUUAUGUUCCCACUUUUAGUGGUCUAUGAGUAUAUCUUUUAUUUUCUUUAUGUGUAUAUUCACUUUGGGGAAUGCAACAAAUCUGGUAGGACGGACUUCUAAACGCCUCUAUUGAUUUUUUAUUUCAUAAUCACCAUCGUAAACAUACGUGAAUUUUAAAUAAAAAUCUAUUCAUUCAUGUUUUCAUGAUUAUUCUCCAAUUAUAGUAAAUAUGAUAUAAUAAAUAAAACAUAGUAAAAUAUACCUGAAGAUCUUUAACAUCAUCUUCAUCACCUUGACUAUUAUCACGGGCAUCAAUUCUGAGAUUGAAUCUUUCAACAUCCUGAAGAUUGAUUUGUGGGACGACUUCAAAAGAUUUUGAAAAAAUAGAGAAUCAUCGUGCUAAUAACAUGUUAUGAAAUAAAGAGAGGCGGAGAGAAUAAAAAACAAAGAAAAUAUGAAAGCAAUAAAGAAUGUACUUUAUUGCUCAAAGGGAUGAUUACAAUGCUUCAUCAGAGUCUCUAUUUAUAGGCAUAAGAAGUAUAAAAGAAGUAGAGAUCUAAUUCUAAUAACUAUUAAAAUUUAAAGUACAUCAAAACUUUAUCUUGAUCAUGAUGGACAUCCACUUAAUAAAAUAUUCAUAACAAUUAGAAAUUAAUUAAAUACGAAUGUUUUAAUAAUAAAUGUAAUAUAAAUAUGAAUAUUUUAAUUAUCUAAAUAUAAGUAUUUGUUUAAGUUAUGCUUAGCUUCAUUUAUCUAUUUCAACUCAAAUGUCUCACUAGCCACUCUCAUAUAUGUAAUAUAUAUACAUAUAUAUAAGUUUUAAUUAGACAUUGUUUAUUAUUAAGUUUAUAUAUGAUAUUUAUUAUUAUAAAAUAUUGCAUUAUUAUAAAAUAAAUUUCAAUUGUCAAAAGGAAAAGCUACCAUAAGUCUAUAAUAUUUUGUAGCAAAUAUAUUAAUGUUGCGUUCAUUUUAAUAAAAACAACUUUUAAAAAAUAAUUUCAAGAAAAUUUAUCAAAUAAUAGAAAAUAUUUUAUGCAUAAUCAUUCAAACACCAAAAAAUAUUAACUUUUUCAGAAAAUAAAACUAUUUUUUAAAAAUCAUUUCCUUUUCGCCAAAAUCAUUUGUUUAUCAUAUAGUAAAUGAAAUAUUUAAUUAGUGAAACUAUAAAAUCUAUUAGAUAAGUUAAUACUAACGUGGAGACGAAAUAUUUAAAAGUAUGAUAAUUUUUGGAAAUUAACCCGUAUAAACGACAAAAUAGAAAAAGUAGAGAAGAUCGAAUAUAAAGAAAACUCCUCAGAAGAGAAAAAAACCACGGGCAAAGGAGGCUUCGACUUUUCACUAAAUGAGUAAAUAAACGAGAGUACAAUAUGGAGACAAUAAACCUAAAUGUACUAAAUGUACAAACCCAAACCCCAAAAAUAAAACCCUAACUUGGGAAUAAAUUCUCUCAAUAGUUACCACGAAACUCUCACAAAAAACUCAUAUGCGACUACAUCUUGUCGCCCUCAAAGAAAAGCCCUAGCUGAUUGGCAUGUCAAAACAGAGAUACAAUGACCAUUUUAAAUAGGCUUACAUUAGAGUUCUAAUCAUACUAAAGCAUCCCUGGAAUAAUUAGUGUAAGACCCUUAACCUGAAUCCAUCGCUGGAACAGGGUUACAGAGCAUUACCAGAAUUUACAGAUCAAAUAAUAGAUAUUCCACAUCAUACAGUAUUCAUAUCAGAAAUCAAUCAUAAAGUCUCUUAUGUGAACCCUCGAGAUCCAAAUCAUUCAUUUGAAAUGAGUCGGGACUAAACCAGGUACUCAAAGAAUUUUUCGCAAAAUCUCAAAAUUUUUCCUAGGUGCAAGGGUCACAAGCCCGUGUGGUCAGGCCGUGUGACACGCCCGUGUCUCAAGCCGUGUAACUCUCUAACUUGGGUCACACGGCCAAGUCACACGCCCAUGUCUAGGCCAUGUGAAGAUGCAAGGGUCACACGGCCAAAUCACACGCCUGUGUGCCAGGCUGUGUGAAAAUACCUAGGCAUUUUGUUUUGAAAUUUUAAAGAUGCAAGGAACACACGGGUAGGUCACACGCCCAUGUGCUAGGCCGUGUGUCACACACGGAUAAGACACACAGUCGUAUCUUUCCCCGUGUGAACUAAAAUAUGCUAUUUUCCAAGUCACAUUUCUCACCCAACUUGUCUUCCACCUACACCAACACUUAAACACAUUCACAAACCAUAUCAAAGUAUUUAAAACAAGUCCAAAUCAUGUCUUAAACAUGACAUAAUAUCACAUACAACCAAUAUACUCUUAUGUACCUCAAAUGACAAUUUAUUAUCGUGUUAAUCUAUCAUUUAUACUUACCUAUUUACCAAAUGCAUAUAUGUAUGAUCACAUUUAUUCUUCAAACAAAAUAGAUCCACUUAUAAAUAUAUCAAAAUAUGUCAAACACAAGCCAUUCUAAUGGCUAGUUUCAUUGAAAACAUUUACAUAUCAAUAUUAGCCAAUUAACCUAUACAUGUCAUUAUAACCAUAAUUGAUUUACCAUAUAUACCAAAAUGGGCCGAUGGAUAGUGUGAGUGAUAUUCGCCAAGCUUCCAAUCCAACGAGCUUCCGAAUUACUAUAGAACAGGGAAAAUUAAAACAGAGUAAGCAUGAAAUGCUUAGUAAGUUCUUAUAACAUGGUAAUUAACUUACCGCUCAUUUAAAUUCAAGAUAAAUCUACAAGGCACAUUCAAUCAAUUUGAUCAUGAGCCCUAACACAUAUCCUAAUCACCCUUGUUAGCCAUAUAUUUCAUAUAAAUAUCAAAAAACAUGUAUGGGCUCAACAAUAAUUAGACUUCUAUGUACAUAUACUUUCCACAUCAUGUAUUCAUAUAACAUAUACAAAUCAUAUCCCUAUAUUUUACGUACAUUUUCAUAAUAAUUGGUCUCGAGUUCAAAUUAUUUCAUGUUAAAACUUUGCCCAUUAAAUCAUUUGAAAUAUUAAUGUCACAUGGGUAGUACACUCGAGGUGUACAAUUAUACAAUCAUGGAUGAACAUAUUUAUCAAACAAAUUCCAUGUUCAUAUAUCAUCAUCUCAUAUUUUCAUAUAUCAUGUACCAUCAUUUUCAUGUAUUUCAGGCAAAUACGUGUAAUAAUUUAUUUCGCAUUCAUAUUUUCUCAUGUUAGGAUUUUUUCUGUUGAAUCACUGAAAACAUCGAUGGGUACACAAGUAGUACACUCGAAGUGUACAAAUAAAAAAUCCACCAAUUCAUAUUCGGAGAUGCUCAUUCAAGCACAUGAUCGGGAAAUCCUCUCUUGAGCCAUAUAACAGGAAACUCACAAAGAGCCAUUAAUUAGGAAGCUUAUCUGGGCUAUAUAAUGGGAAGCCCAUAAGAGCUACAAUCAGGAAGUUCACAAAGAACUUUUAAUCAAGAAGCUCAGAAGAGCCUUUAAACAAGAAGCUCACGAAGAGCCUUUAAUCAGGAGCUCCGGAUAGCCAUAUGUUGGAAGUUCAAGCAACCAUAUCAGGAAGCUCUGGAGAGCCAUAUAACAAUAUGCUCAUAAAGAGCUAUGGUAUGUCCGCAACACAUGUAGGAUUACUACCGAUCAUAUAAUAAGACGCUCACAAAGAGUUGCGGUAUGUCCGCAACACAUGCAGGAUCACUACCGAUUGGGAUGCUCGCAGGAACCAUAUAACAGGAAGCUCGAGAGGGCUUAUAACGGGAUGCUCGUAAGAACUAUGGUGUGUUUGCAACAUAUGCAGGACUACAACCAAUUCAGGAAAUCCUGUAUCCACAGAAUUUCAUUAUUCAAACGGGAUUUAAUAUUUAUCAGGCUUUGUUUGAUAUGUAAUCAAUUUCAUGUAUAUGACUUUAUACAAUUCACAUACACAACAUUCAAUUCAAGCAUAUAAAUAUACAUAAUUUAGUUACACGAACUUACCGCAACAAAUGUUUAUGUACGUAAAAUCUACUAAUCUGACACUUUCUCUUUUCCUUGUUCUAACUCCGAAUUUGGUCUAUCCGGAUCUAUAUGAAUAAAUUUAACAUCAAUUCAUGUUCAUUUCAUGUUCAUUUCAAUUCAAUUCACAGCUUAGGAAAAAUUAUAAUUUUGCCCCUAAACUUUUAAUUAAUGAUGAUUUCGUCCCUAGACUUGGAAAAUGAAAUUUAUGCAAUUUAAUCCUUAUUCCAAGCCUAGCCGAUUUUCACAUGUAAAAAUUACAGCCCAUGUAUUUCAUAAAAUUCAGAAUUUUUCCAUGAAUUUUUACAUCUUUUGAAUUUAGUCCCUAAAUUAAUUUUUCGUCAAAUUUUCCUUUACAAAAGUUGUUUGUCUAUCAACAACCUUUCAUUUUCUACCAUAAAACUUCAUAAUUCAUGCAUACUCAUCCAUGGCAAAAACCUAGUACUUUGAUAACUUUACAAAUUAGUCCCCGAGAUAGCUAAAUUAAGCUAUUACGAUCUUGAAAAUAUGAAAAUUACUAAAAACGGGACUUGAAUACUUACUCUCUUAACUAGGGUUUCCAUGUUUUAUUUGGGAAAGAUGAUGAUAAAAUGAUGAUAUUUUUUUAUAAUUUAUCAUCUUUUAAAAUUUCACUUUCCAAUUUCAUCAUUUUAUUUAAUUAAUUUUCCAUGGAUGAAUCAUCAUCCUUAACCACUAAGCAUUUUUAAUGGUCUAUUUGCCAUAUAAGGACCUCAAAUUGUAAUACCCCAAAAAAUUUUACACUAAGAUAUUAUCUUUGAUAUAAUAAAUAAGAAAAUAAAGCUACAAAAAGGGGAAAUUUUGGAGUUAUGUCAACAUUGGGAAGUAUAUUAUGACAUAUUAGUUCAAGAAAGGAUUAAAUCACAAAAGUGAGAAAAGUUCUGUUACCUAAGAGUAAAUACUCAAAAAUUAAAGGGUUAAAGUGUAAAUAUAAAAAGUUGAAGGACAAAUGGUGUAAAUAUUUUAAAGGUGGAAUGAUCUAGAAACUAAGGAAAAUGGAUAGAUUAGGACCAAAUUGAAAAAGGUGAAGAAUUUUAAGGGACUAAAUUGUAAUUUUACCAAAUUAAGUGAUGACUCAAGGAUAGAAUUUUAAAAGAUCAUGAAGGGCAAAAUGGUCAAUUAGAAGAGAGAGAAAUCUAGAAGAUAAUGAUGAUGUUGGAGAUAUUUUAGGUUAAAUAAAUAAAUAUUAGUUUAUUAGUAUUUUAAUUUGAUUUUAAAAUGAUAUUUUAUUAUUUUAUUAUUUUAUUAUUUAGUAUAUAUAUAUGUGGAAAGAAAGAUGAAAAGGAACGAACCCACCAUCUUUUCCACGAAAUUCACGUUAGAAGAGAAGAGAAGAAAGAAAGUUUUACUUUCUUUACAAUUUAGUCCUUCCACCAAAAAUUCACUAUUUUCACUUAGAAAUCAAAAGAAUUUCCAUAGCUUCCAAGAGAGAAAAAUAAUAAGGAGACAAUGGGGAGCUAGAAUAUCAAGUUAGAUUCAAGAAAUAGAAGCUGGAGGAGAGAGAAAAUUAAGUUAAAGAUUGAAGUCAAUAGCAUAAGUUAAGUACAUCAAGAUUUUAAUAUAUUUUUAAUUUUGAUAUUAUUGAAAAAGUAUGAAAAUGAUGUUAAUGUAAAGUUUUUGUAUAUAUGGUCCUAUGUUCUUGAUAUGUUAGUGAAAAGAAAAUAAGAGAAAGUGAUGAGAAAUAGUGUAGAGAAAGAAAAUAAGGGUGUUAUAAACAUGGUAAUAAACAUCCUGUAUUAAAACAGUUUUUGACAGCAACAGUAGGCUCACUUUGAAAAAUCACCAUAAAUUAUGAAAAUAAAAUUAGAUUAUGAAUGGGAUUAAAGCUUAUUGAGUCUAGUUUCUCAUGGAAGAAACGAUGUAAGUAAUAGAUUUGUAAAUUAUGAGAUAUAAUAAAUUUUGUGAGACAAGGUCAGAAUGAAUUCGGGUUCCCUUGUUCUGACUUGGAAAAAUCAUUAAAAAUUGUACAAAAAUAAUUAUGGGUUACAAUUUAUAUUUUUAAAAUCCUUAAUGAUUCUAUUUUCAAUAGAAACAAACAGAGACAUCAUUUGAGUUCUGUACAAAGAGAUAAUUAAUUUUUAGUGAAGAAGGGUCGGAAAUGUCAGACAACAGAAUAGAGGUAACUUUAAAGAAUAAACUGUACUUAUUUGCUAAAAAAAAAAUUAUGAAAAUGUUAUGUAAGAAGAUAUGUGAGUCUAGUUUCAGGGAAAAUUAGCGGAUCCUAAUUUGGAGUUAUGUAGCUCAAGAUAAAAAUAAAUUAGUGACUAUGACUCAAAUAGAUAGUUUUGAAUAAAUUUACAAGUAAAUUGUGAAAUCAUAUAUAUAUAAUGGUACUUGUAAGAAUGUUAUCUAAAUUAUGGAUGUGGAAUGGAGAGGAGGAGGAGGAAAAAUAUAUAUAUGAAUAUUCAAUUAGCAUGGAUAAUUUGCACGUUUUAGACUCAGGGACUAAAUUGAAUAAAAGUAAUAUUUAAAAGGAAAAUAUAUAAAAAAGUAAAAAAGUGACCAAAUUGCAUGAAAUGAAUUGUUUUAUUACUUAAAUUAAUAAAUUGAAAGAAAUAUUAAUUUAGAUCAAGAUUGGGUGGGAAUUCAAGGAAAAUGAAAAAUUACCAAAAUGUCCCUAAAUUUUGGUAUUUCUACAAUUUAGCCCGGUAAGUUCGUGUGACUUGAAUUAUAUUCCUAAAUGCUUGAAAUGUUUGUUAUUGAUGUGAAUAUGAUUUGGAUGUUUAUUGUAUGAUAAUUGAUGAAGUAUUGGUAUUCUUGAUGAAAAGAGAAAAUAAAUCCCGGUUAAAUGAAAGGAAAAUUCGAUGGAUCUCUAAAAAUGAAUUGACAGUAAAAAGGAUCUAGCCCGGACGGGUGAUCCUAUUCUGAUAUAGCCCUCCCGAAGAAAAUGUGGAAAAUGGAUUUAGCCCGGACGGGUAAUCCGAAUUAGGGUCUGAAUUUAGCCUGGACUGGUAAUUCAGAUCCAAGCUUAUUAGAGUAAUUGUCGUUGCAGGGGAUUUAGCCUGGACUGGUAAUCCCGCUGUAAGGAUGAGGUUCGCGGGAGUGUGCUCUCUAAAAUGGAAAUGUGCGCACAUGAAUAUGAAUUGACGGACCCGAAAUUGUACACUAAAAGUGUACAUCUUAAAAUCCAUCGAAUUUCUGAAAAAUUCAACAGGACAAAUAUGGGAAAAUAAUAAGGGUAAUAGAAAACAUGGAAUUGAAUUUUUAUUGGAAAUAUAAUAUCGAAUUUAAUACUCAAUUUGGAUUGAACGCGGGAUCGAGUACAAUCAUUCUGUGGCAAAGGGUGAAUUGACGAAUAAAAUCAUAACUGGGUUAUGGCACUAUGAAUGUAAGACCAUGGUCAGACUAUGGUAGUGUUUAUAUAUGCAAGACCAUAGUUGGAAUAUGGCACCAAAGAACGAUGUACUCAUAUCCGUAAGUCGUUAUUUGAUUCAGAAAGAAACGGUAAAAGACUUAAGUGAUUGAAUUGAAAGAUUUAUAGAUUAGUAUUGGUAUUGAUCUGAAAUAAAUGUAAUCAUUGAUAUUUAAAUGAUAUAACGGGUAAAGUUUUGAAGUGAGAUAACACGAAUUUGAAAUGAAUUAUUACUGGUAUGUACAAAAUUCAUGAAAAUGAUGGUACAUGAAAUAUCGAAAUAAUGAAAUGAAUGAUAUAUGUCUAUGAAGAAACGACAAGAGAAUGAUAUGUAUCAUGACAUGUAAAUGUACAAUUGUCUUUAAUAUGUUGAUACAAGAAAAUCAUGCAUGGUGAGUUUAUAUGUAAUGUGCGCAAGUACACUAACCAGUAUUCUUGCUUGAUGCUUAGGCAAGUGCCCAGCUAUUGGUUGCAUGGUAUUAUGAUUAUUUAUAUAAUGCAAUUGAAAAGUAUUUAAGUGAAAAUAUGCUAGCACUCACUAAAGAGUGGUAAGGUUUAGGUUAUACAAUUUCUUAUGAAAUGACUUAUCAUGUGAUCAAUUCGAAAAAGACUGUGGAUUUAUUCACCUCAUGAGUUGAUGAAUAUAGCUUCAUGAGUAUUAUGGUAUUAAUAUCGGAUUAUUCUUGAUAUGUAUAGAUUUCAUAUUUUAGAUGAACUAAUAUGAUUAAAAAUUUCACGAGCUUACUAAGCAUUCAUUGCUUACGUAUUUAUUUUUAAUUACCCUAAGAUUAUAGAAAGCUCGAUUUGGUUGGAAGCUUGUCAGAGAUAUAUCAUACUAUUCAUUGGUUCUAUCGGUAAUUUUGGAUGAUUUGCUUUUUGGUUAAAAUGGCAUGUAUAAGUUAAUUUGGCCAAAUUGGCUCAUAAAUAUUUUAAUUUGGUUAGUUUCAAAUAUGAGUGUUAGAUGAAAUGAAAUGUCUGAAAAUAAAUUUGUAAAUUUUGGUAAUGCUCCGUAACCCUGUUUCGGCGACAGAUUCGGGUUAGGGGUGUUGCACAAAUUUUAAAUUUCAUAGCUAUUUAAUCCCUUUAGCUAUUAGAACUCAACUUUUGCACUUUGUGCAAUUUGGUCCUUUAUCAAAUUAAACUUAUAAUCGGUAAAAUUCCUUUACGAAAUUUUCAUACGAUAUUAUUAUUGUACUGUAGAUCAUAAAAUAAUAUUAAAAUAAAUUUUCCUUUCGGAAUCGGAUUUGUGGUCCCGAAACCACUAUUCCGAUUUUACCAAAAACGGGCUGUUACAAUCAGAGUCCAAUUGAGAGAAUCAAUCCUGUUUGAAGUCUAAAAUGAGGCUGCCAAAUAGGAGAACACGUCAUGACGUGAAAGGUUAUUUUAAAAAUCAUGUUUAAAAAUAUUUAAAAAUCAUGUUUUCCUUCAACAUGACCUGAAAGGUUAUUUUAAAAUAUUUGUAGAAUGCUGAUACAAUAUAUAUAUAUAUAUAUAUAUAUAUAGUGUCAUAAUGCUAUAAAUUCAAAUUUUUAAUGUAAUGCUUUUGAAAUGUAAUUUUUUUGGUAAUACAAAAGUUUCUUUUAUAAGGUUGAAUAUUUUUUUUUAAAAAUUAUUUAUUUCAUACAUUACGUGCAUAUAAAAUGUGGGAAACAUAUGUGAUAAUUAAAAAUAAAAUAAAACCACUAUCAUAUGAAUAAUAUUAAUAUUAAUUAUAUAUAUGCGUGUAUUAUUUUAGAAAUAAUUUAAAAAAUUAUGGCUUUUUACAUAAGUAAAUUAAUUUAAUUUUUUAUAUAUUCAAAGGGUAAUGAAAUUUGCAUUAAAAUUUUAUAUUAAAAUUAAAGUGGAAAUGAAUGCAGCCAAAUCUUUAGAAUUAUUAAAUUAAUGACUAUUCAAAAAAUAAUUAGUUAAUAAUUUACAAUAAAAAAAAUUUUAUUGUAGAGUUAGAAAAGAUAAUAAGAUAGUAAUUAUUAAGUAAAUAAUGAUUUACUUAAGAUUAAGUAGUAAAAAUGUAGUUUCAAAAAUAUAGAUUAAGUAGUAAAAACAAUUGUGGAAUAAAUCCUUUUUAUUAAAGAUUAAAUAGAUGGUUUAAAACUUUCUACAUCUUGGUUUUGAUAAAUGGAUCAUUUGUGAUAAAUGGAUCAAAUGUUACUUGAUUUUGAUAAAUGGAUCACAACCAAUCAUUUGUGAGAUUGCUUGCUUAAGUAAUUAUUAAAUUAAGAGUUAAACCAAAUAAUUAAAGUAAAUGAUAUGUGUUAUAUAUAAAACAUAAAAACUAGAUUACUGUUUCAUUAAACGUAGAAAAAUAACAGUGGAAUAUAAAAUAAUAGUUGGUGAGAUGGGAAGACCACGUCGGAUGCCCAUUUGUCCUUAUCUUUCCUAUCCUUUCACAAACAAAACCAAUGACGGCUAUUCCAUAUAUCAUUCGUGAAUCACCAUAUAUUCUUUAAUUGGGAUAAAUUGAUUUAUCAUUCAAAUACUUAUAUAUUUUUAUUUAAUCAUACAUAUUUUAAAAAAUAAAUAUCUUAAUUUAUUUUUAUACUUGAUUUAAUUAUUAGUUUUGUAAUAAAAUCAUUUUGUGAAAAUUGAAUUAAAUCAAUAUUUUAUAUAUAAAAUUACACAAAAUUAAAAUUUAUAUAUAAAAUUACAUUGAAAGUCAAAAUCUAUAUCUAACUUUGAGAUUUAUUUCUAUUUAAUUCAAUAAAGUUUUUUUUAGAUUAAAAACAAUUUAAACUUCUUUUCUAAUUACACACCUGCUAAAAAAAUUGGUGAGCAAGAUAACAUUACACAAAGAAGGAUGAGAGGAAUUUUAUUACUAGAAAAGUGAAAACUCCUCUGCCCUUUUAGUGCUCAUGUUGUGUCUACCUAAUCAUUUUCCAACACGUGAGUAAUAUAUUUUUGAAUUUAACUCAAUCUUGAGAUUAAAUUUUAGUAGUAUUCGGUUUGCAAUUAAAAUUAAAAAUAAAGGAAUCAGUGCAUGAGAAUGUGGGUUUAAGUGCGCUGAAACGCAUUAUCCUCAUAAUAUUUGAUAUUUUUAUAGACAAGAAGAACAAAUCAAAGGCAGAUCGGAUAAAAUCUACGCUUUCCCUUCUUUCAUUGUUUUUGCUUGAUUUGCUAUCAUUGAAGCUGUGUUUUUAUAGACUAUUGUAGAGAUUAAUUUAUCUGAAAUUGGUGGACAUAAAGGGACAGGAAUUUUAUUCUUAUUAAAAAUGUAAACCUAGAAACUACUUGUAUGUAUAUGUGUAUGUGCUAAUUCUAUGCUUGUAGUAGUUCUAGGUUCCAGGACAACGAGGCAUGGUAGACGGCGGUGGGCGGAUGCUUGUUUUCUUGGUUUUACCAUUCCUCACGAUGAGAACAGUGUCCAUUCCCCAGCUACUAUGCCUCUCCAAAUGGCAAUGCAUAAACCAUACUCCUGAAAAUAUUGUAAUUAGUUAAAACUUUGGUCGUAAGAAAGAUGAGCUGCUUUUUAUUUAAACAAUUUUCUAAUUGAAAAACUUACCGGGAUUGGUAGCAAAAAAUCUGAUGGCAACCCACCUUCUACCAGGAACAUGGACAGUGUUAAUGAGUGGUGGAUCAACCAGAUUAUAAGUGCUUGGGUCUGUCUUAUUGUUGAAAUUUCCGAAACCUGUUCCCACCCAAUAGAAGCUGAAACCGUGCAAAUGGAUUGGGUGACUUCCACCAGCCCCCAUCUGGGUUGCUUGCAGCACCAUCUCAACUCCUUCCCCAUAAUUUACCACUAUAACCCUCGUCCCUUCCUCAACAGGGGUAUUGAGAUUAGUCAAGUUUCCAGUGAAAUCAUAGAUUACCGGGGGAUUCAAUGGAAAAUCUUCGGUGUAAACACCACUCAUGUUCCUGCAAUUUUACCAAAACUUUUAAAAAUUAGGCAGCUACAGUAGUGAAAUCAUGAUUUAAGAAUUGCUAUAACCAUGGAUAUAUAUAAUAUACCUGUUGUAGUAUGCUUGGAGAAUGUCAAUACUUGGGGAAACAUAGCUCACAUUGUUCAAACUUGCAACAAGUCUGGUGCCUACAACACAGUUGCUGCAAGGCAAGUUGUUUACCGCGAGUGCAAUGAACACUCGUCUUUUAAUAUCCUUGUCUGCCGGCACAUUUAUCCGCGGAUUCUGGGAGACUUUCGUGUUCCGAAUUUGGUUAAGGAAGUUAAUCAUAGCAUCUGUAUCGUUCAUUACGGGCAAUGUUAUCAAGGAAGCAUUCAAUCCACCCUCACUGUUUGUAUAUUGAAAAAUGCCAGUAGUGAUGUUGUCAAUAGGUGCAGCAGAGGAAUCAGAGAAAGGCCUAAUAGCCAUGUAAUAUUGGCCAACGUUUCGAUUGGCAGAGACCAAAACAUCCAUGGUUUGGCCAGGGCUUAUCAAUAUAUAGUCCCUCGUAAACCUUCGAACAUAGGAGGCAUCUUGUGCGA